rnacentral:rRNA from 1 species
UAACUUUUAACAACGGAUCUCUUGGCUCUUGCAUCGACGAAGAACGCAGCGAAAUGCGAUAAGUAAUGUGAAUUGCAGAAUUCCGUGAAUCAUUAAAUCUUUGAACGCAAAUUGCACUUCUUGGUAUUCCGAGGAGUAUACUUGCUUGAGGGCUGGUC